GAUUAAUGAGAAUUUAAGGUCUAUCUUAUGAUAUGUAUCUAAUUCUCAUUUCCUUCUUUUUGAAAACAUUUCCUUAAUUUAUUAGGGAUCAAAAUGUUUCAAAUCUUUUACUGUGAAGAAAUUAGAGUGUUCAAAGCAGGCGUAACUUAGCUUUUGAAUAUAUUAGCAUGGGAUAAUGAAAUAGGAUUUUAGUUCUACUUUCGUUGGUUUCUAGGGCUAAAAUA
rnacentral:rRNA from 1 species